rnacentral:tRNA from 1 species
UCAUUCAACUACAAGAAC